UCCCAGGAGGCACAAGUGGUAAACGAUCUGCACACGCUAUUCUUACACUGUGUAUUAGCCUUUCUCUCUACUGGCAUUCCGGUACAGUGUCUCUGUCGCCUGCAAUUCUGGGGAGAAGCACACACCAGAGCAGCUGGGCAGAGGCAUAUAGAUCCUUGGAGUCAGAGACGGAAGGUGAAUGCAAGCCCAGCUCCAGAGACCACCCAUCAUGGCGGGGGCUAUCUUCAGAUGCCCCUACAAGAACGAGCGGCAGAGGCGUGACCAGCAGCCCACAGGGGAUGGGUGAGAAGAGGCACUGCCACGGGGACCCAGAGGGCACAGGCAGGGGGUGUGCGAUCAGAGUCACCCCGGGACCACAGUCAGAGGGUAUGAGAAUCACUACCCGCAGACCCCAGAAAGCAAGUGAGGGGAGAAGAAGACGGCUCCCUCGUGAACCCAGACAGAGGGGACGUUUGCUGGUGCUAGCAUUGUGGCGGUAGGUCCAGACAUGAGCCAGAGGAUAACGACAAACAUGAAAAAUAAGAACAUGACCGCGAGCUGCCAUGUGACCCUGUGCUAAGUGUUUCGCGUGCAUCAUGCUCUUUCAUCCUGACAGCAUCCUGGGCAGGCUACAUCCAGCCCCAGGGCUGUCAAGCACUGUGCUCUACCUCCAACACAGACGGAUCUCCAGACAAGGAGAGAGAUGAUCACCCUGGCCCUGCAUCAGGGGACAGGAAGCCUGAGAUCAGCCCUCUUCUGCUGCUGUGUGACCCUGAAGAGGUCACAGAAGCUUUCUGAACCCCACUUGCCUCCCUCAUCUAGCAAACAAGGUUGGUAAAUAUCUGCUGGCCCUUGAGAGGAGCAAAUGACUUAAGACAGGUACGUCUGUGUAUAAAAUCAUCCCUUUCAUUAUUCAUAUCAGGUCUCUCCAGCUCCAAAGGGGCUGUGAUGAAAGGUGAGUACGAAUGAUGAUGUGACUUAUUGAAGGCUAAAGAGUCUCCAAUGGAUCAAACAGAGCCACUGUGCUGGGUCUAGCUUGUCUGGAGAGGCUUUAUCAUCCUGACAUAGCCACCCAGGGAGAGAGUUAGGGAUGUUUCUAGACUUCAGGGGUCAGUCCAGAGCCAAGGGGUACUAGCCAGAGAAGACAGAACUCACACCAGAUCAUCUACACAGCUGGCUCAGUGGCCAGAAGAAUCCCUUGGGCAACCUCACGCCCAGCCCUGGUCCGAGCAUCGGGAGGUUCUUUCUGCUGCCUCUGGCCAUGCUCAGCCUCCAGCACCCUCCCCCCCUUGCUUAGCAGGCCUGUGUUCCCAGCAGCCCUAAAUGGUCCAGUAAAGGGCACCGGCCACUUGCUGAAAUGCCAGCAGCUUCCACGGCAGACCCCAGCCUACCUGGAACUCACUUGUGGCUUCAGGUGGCUAUAGGGCUCAUCCAGUAAUUAUAGCACAUUCAUUAAACGUUUACUGGUAACUGUGCACGCCUUGCAGGGAGCAGGGAGAGCACUGGAAAUUUACCCUUCAGACUGGAUACCUCACAUCCCAUCGCGAGGCCUUUAUCUUCAUGCUCCUUUUCUUACACUGCUCCCUCCACUCCCCCGUCACUUGGUUUCUCCUUGGGGCUUGGUGGGGGGCGGGGAGGGAGAACUCAAUUCCUUAAUUGUCUGGUCCUUCCAGAAGCACUAACACACUAAAAGGAGGUGAGGCUUGUAUAUACACCAGUCACCACCAUGCAGAAGCCUGACUGUACACACACCCCUUCCUUCCAAUAUUUGGGGAAUUCUCUGAAUUCUGAGUCUUGGGAUGCAAAGCCUGUUUCUAUAGCAAAACCAGACAGUGCAAGACCCUGGCUUCCUAGGUGCCCUGGCAGUAGUAACAGAGACAGACCAUUGAGACUCUACCAAGCAGAGCAGAUCCACAGGAAAAGGAGUGGGUUCCUCAAAGAAAGGGAAUUUGGAGGAAUCCUUUUCAGAGGCUGAGCAAGAGGCGGUUCUGGGGCAGUGGCAGCCGGAGCAGGCAGUGGUGUGCACCAUUAAUCUCCAGAGCGUAGUGCAGAUAGCAGGGUUCUCCUCAAGG